GAUGAACGCUGGCGGCGUGCCUAAUACAUGCAAGUCGAGCGAACGGACGAGAAGCUUGCUUCUCUGAUGUUAGCGGCGGACGGGUGAGUAACACGUGGAUAACCUACCUAUAAGACUGGGAUAACUUCGGGAAACCGUAGCUAAUACCGGAUAAUAUUUUGAACCGCAUGGUUCAAAAGUGAAAGACGGUCUUGCUGUCACUUAUAGAUGGAUCCGCGCUGCAUUAGCUAGUUGGUAAGGUAACGGCUUACCAAGGCAACGAUGCAUAGCCGACCUGAGAGGGUGAUCGGCCACACUGGAACAGAGACACAGUCCAGACACCUACGGGAGGCAGCAGUAGGGAAUCUUCCGCAAUGGGCGAAAGCCUGACGGAGCAACGCCGCGUGAGUGAUGAAGGUCUUCGGAUCGUAAAACUCUGUUAUUAGGGAAGAACAUAUGUGUAAGUAACUGUGCACAUCUUGACGGUACCUAAUCAGAAAGCCACGGCUAACUACGUG
rnacentral:rRNA from 1 species